UCAGUGAAAUUUUGGCGAGUUUUUUGAGUUUUGGUGGGUUUCACUGGGAUUUUGUGGGAUUCUCUGGGGUUUUGGAGGAUCUUAUUGUAAUUUCUUGGAAAUUUGGGGAUUUUUAGUGGAAUUUGUGGGGGAUUUGGGGGUCUGGGGCCUUUGGGGUUGUCCCCGGGUUUGCGGAAGGGCUGAGAGGCAUCAAAAUCUCCUUAAAACCCCACAAGUCCCAAUAAAGCUCAUGAAGUCUGAAAUAAAUAUGACAAAAUCCCAUUAGAACACCCUAGAAUCCCAAUAAAAGCCCACAAAAUCUUUUGAAAUCCCAAUAACGCCCAAAAUCCCGAUGAAAGCCCGCAAAUCCCCCAAAAAAUGUCCCAAAAACCAUAAAACUCCCAGAAAAUUUCACCCAAGACCCAAAGAAAUCAUGACAACACCCAAAUAACAACACGAAACCCCAAAAGCCUACCAACAUUCUCAAAAAAAACCUCAAAUCCCCAAUAAAUCCCACUAAAAGCCCCCACAAUACCAGUAAAAUGCCUCAAAAUCUCCUAGAAAUCCCAAUAAAACUGCCAGAAUUUCUCAGAGUCCCAAAAAAACCCGAACAAAAUCUCAGUAAAGCCUCCCAAAAUACAAACCAAACUAAAAAAAUUUCAAUCAACCCCCAAACAUCCCCAGAAGAAACCCCCCCCCAAAGCGCCAAUAAAACCCCCAAAAUCCAAACCCCCCAAAAUCCACAAAAGCCCCCAACAUUUCCCACCUUGUCCCAGCAUGUCUGCAGUCAUUCCCAGGCGCUGCCAGUGGCCCCAGGAAGGUGUCAGCUCUCCCAGUGUGAUCCCCCAGUCAUGCCCAGAAUAUCCCAGCUGCCUCCAGCAUGCAUCCAGUCCUGCCCAGUUCCUCCAGUUUGCUUGCAGCAUGAUCCCAGUUUCUCUCAGGAUUUCCAUUGCCAACCCCCAUUGAGGCUGUGAGGAAAAUGCCCCAGAACAUGCAAGCAGAGCAGGAGCUGAGCAUGGAGAGCAGGGAGGACAAAUCCCCGCGGCAGAACCUCGUGGCAGAGGCCGUUUUGAGCGGCUCCACGGCGCAGGAAGCCAACGGGGAGGAAAAGCCCCGGAGAUGCC